GAGCUCGAUUCUCUCCUCAGGCAAUGACUGGACAGCUGGACAGUUAAACCUACAUAGAGCCAAGGAGGUUGUGGUAGCGAGCCUUUUUCUUUCCUGAAACUGGCAUUUCUCUGUCAAGCUGUUGUAAAUUUGUAAAGGUAUCCCCUCUAGACUUUUCCAAAGGAUGGAGGUGAGUUCAUUCUAUGUUUAAUUAAUUUUCUAACCUCUGUGAUUAGCCUUCCCCAAAAUCACAUGGUAGGAAAUAAACUGGGCUCGAUUUAAAUUCUGAUUUU
rnacentral:lncRNA from 1 species